rnacentral:miRNA from 1 species
GCGUACGAGGAGCCAAGCAUA